rnacentral:rRNA from 1 species
UACGGGGGGGGUAAGCGUUGUUCGGAAUUACUGGGCGUAAAGGGCUCGUAGGCGGCCAACUAAGUCAUACGUGAAAUCCCUCAGCUUAACUGGGGAACUGCGUGUGAUACUGGAUGGCUUGGAUGUGGGAGAGGGAUGCGGAAUUCCAGGUGUAGCGGUGAAAUGCGUAGAUAUCUGGAGGAACACCGAUGGCGAAGGCAGCCUCCUGGGCUAGUACUGACGCUCAUGCACGAAAGCGUGGGGAGCAAACAGG